CCCCUCGGGGAUCACAGUCAGGUACUGCUCGUAGAACACGUUGGUGAUCCUGCCGGGGGGAGCAGAGCACAGUCACUGCUCCGAGACCCCCAACGCCCACUUCGGGGUGAGACCUCAGCUCGGGGAGGGCAUGGGGGCACCCUGGCCCAGGGGCAGCAGGUGCCUCCCGGCUGGAGUCCAUCCCCAGCCUACCACCAGCCCAGCGCCCUCAUCCGGGCCCACGUCCCCGCUGCCCGGCGCCCAGAGCCUCACGUGUAGGGGAAGACCUCGAAGUCCGGAUCCGUGCCUGGCACCUUCCGCAAAUCAGCAGUGAUGCUGGCCGCCAGCGCCCGAGCUGCCCGCAGCGCCUCCGUGAAGUCCUGCGAGUUCUUCAGCGGCUUCUGUUUCCCCUGAGCCCAUAGAGGCCACACACUCACUGACGGUCGAGGGGCAGAACUCAUCCUUAUUGGGACCGUAGAGAUAAAGGCGGCAGCAGGUGGAUGAAGACAGCCAGUCAAUGAAGUCAUCCAGCCAGGAGGAGGCAGGGAUGGCUAGAGGACAGUGCAGUGACGUGGGCAGCUGCGGAGCCUGGGACUGAGGAUGCGCAGUGCCCAGCAGAAGGCAGGCCCUCAGCGAUCCUGCCCAGAUGAUCAUCUCCCAUGGCCAGCCUCUUGGAUGCCCGGUGGCCUCC